UGGGGAAUCUUCCGCAAUGGACGAAAGUCUGACGGAGCAACGCCGCGUGAGUGAUGACGGCCUUCGGGUUGUAAAGCUCUGUUAAUCGGGACGAAUGGUUCUUGUGCAAAUAGUGCGAGGAUUUGACGGUAUCGGAAUAGAAAGCCACGGCUAACUACGUGCUAGCAGCCGCGGUAAUACGUAGGUGGCAAGCGUUGUCCGGAAUUAUUGGGCGUAAAGCGCGCGCAGGCGGAUUGGUCAGUCUGUCUUAAAAGUUCGGGGCUUAACCCCGUGAUGGGAUGGAAAAUGCCAAUCUAGAGUAUCGGAGAGGAAAGUGGAAUUCCUAGUGUAGCGGUGAAAUGCGUAGAUAUUAGGAAGAACACCAGUGGCGAAGGCGACUUUCUGGACGAAAACUGACGCUGAGGCGCGAAAGCCAGGGGAGCGAACGGG
rnacentral:rRNA from 1 species